AACGCUCUCGGCGUGCCUAACACAUGCAAGUCGAGCGGUAACAGGUGUAGCAAUACAUGCUGACGAGCGGCGAACGGGUGAGUAAUGUUUCGGAAUCUGCCCAAUGGUGGGGAAUAACCAGCCGAAAGGUUGGCUAAUACCGCAUGAGUCCUACGGGAGAAAGCGGGGGAUCGUAAGACCUCGCGCCGAUGGAUGAGCCGAAACCGGAUUAGCUAGUUGGUAGGGUAACGGCCUACCAAGGCGACGAUCCGUAGCUGGUCUGAGAGGACGACCAGCCACACUGGGACUGAGACACGGCCCAGACUCCUACGGGAGGCAGCAGUGGGGAAUAUUGGACAAUGGGGGGAACCCUGAUCCAGCGACGCCGCGUGUGUGAAGAAGGCCUGCGGGUUGUAAAGCACUUUUAGUGGGGAUGAAAAGCUCAGGGCUAACACCUCUGGGUCUUGACCUAACCCACAGAAAAAGCACCGGCUAACUCUGUGCCAGCAGCCGCGGUAAUACAGAGGGUGCAAGCGUUAAUCGGAAUUACUGGGCGUAAAGCGUGCGUA
rnacentral:rRNA from 1 species